CCAGACUCCUACGGGAGGCAGCAGUAGGGAAUUUUGCGCAAUGGGCGAAAGCCUGACCCAGCAACGCCGCGUGAAGGAAGAAGGCUUUCGGGUUGUAAACUUCUUUUAAGAGGGAAGAGUAGAAGACGGUACCUCUUGAAUAAGCCACGGCUAACUACGUGCCAGCAGCCGCGGUAAUACGUAGGUGGCAAGCGUUAUCCGGAUUUACUGGGUGUAAAGGGCGUGUAGGCGGGAAAGCAAGUCAGAUGUGAAAACCAUGGGCUCAACCUGUGGCCUGCAUUUGAAACUGUUUUUCUUGAGUACUGGAGAGGCAGACGGAAUUCCUAGUGUAGCGGUGAAAUGCGUAGAUAUUAGGAGGAACACCAGUGGCGAAGGCGGUCUGCUGGACAGCAACUGACGCUGAGGCGCGAAAGCGUGGGGAGCAAACAGGAUUAGAUACCCCCGUAUAC
rnacentral:rRNA from 1 species